ACGCGUCCGCCGAAGACACCCUCGAACUCUGUCUGAAGAUUGAAGUCUGAGUGAAAAUAUAAAUUAUUUAAAACUUUCAACAACGGAUCUCUUGGUUCCGGCAUCGAUGAAGAACGCAGCGAAAUGCGAUACGUAAUGUGAAUUGCAAAUUCAGUGAAUCAUCGAGUCUUUGAACGCACAUUGCGCCCCCUGGUAUUCCGGGGGGCAUGCCUGUCCGAGCGUCAUUGCUGCCCUCAAGCCCGGCUUGUGUGUUGGGCCCCGUCCCCCGAUCUCCGGGGGACGGGCCCGAAAGGCAGCGGCGGCACCGCGUCCGGUCCUCGAGCGUAUGGGGCUUUGUCACCCGCUCUGUAGGCCCGGCCGGCGCUUGCCGAUCAACCCAAAUUUUUAUCCAGGUUGACCUCGGAUCAGGUAGGGAUACCCGCUGAACUUAAGCAU
rnacentral:rRNA from 1 species